UACGAAGGGGGCAAGCGUUGUUCGGAAUUACUGGGCGUAAAGGGCGCGUAGGCGGCCUGCUGCGUCGGGUGUGAAAGCCCCGGGCUCAACCUGGGAGGUGCACUCGAUACGGGCGGGCUGGAAUCCGGAAGAGGAUGGUGGAAUUCCCAGUGUAGAGGUGAAAUUCGUAGAUAUUGGGAAGAACACCGGUGGCGAAGGCGGCCAUCUGGUCCGGAAUUGACGCUGAGGCGCGAAAGCGUGGGGAGCAAACAGGAUUAGAAACCCCCGUAGUCC
rnacentral:rRNA from 1 species